AUGCACCCAUUUGACUAACUUGCAGCAGCUAAUGUCUGCUGCCAAGGUUUCCUCUCCAGAUGCAAGAAAAAAGGUUUUUUUUUUGCCAUUCCUGUUCAUCAGCCUGUGGCAGCCAAGAUUGAGUGGAAGAGUAUAGGA
rnacentral:snoRNA from 1 species